AUGGCAAAGAUGAGCCGAGUUCUGACCCUCUUUGUUCUCUUCCUGGACUAUUGGAUCUCUGCAGAGGGCUACCCUCACUUCCGAAUCCAAGAUGACAGUCGGCAUCAGGCCUCUCCUGAGGACCCGACCGUCGCAGCUUUUGAGAAAGCAAGCAUGGCAGCCAGUCCCACUGCCAGGGAAGACCCAGAUGAAAGAGCCAAUGUGUCCUGGAAUUCUUCGGAACCAGACUCUUCUCUUGACAGUGUGGACAAACUUCCGGAUGAUGAUCUGCGUUGUGAGCAGCUUCUGUACUUCCUGCAGAAGAACAUCAUCUUGGUUGCCUUCACGGUGGUGGGGAUCUUUGGGGCCAUAGUGCUGUUGGUGUUCGCGCUGACUUCUUGCAUGAAGAGGAGCCAGCCAUUGCAUCCUCCAGCGAACACGAGUUACACUAUUUUUAUAUUGGAUGAAAAGAGUUGGGGGCGAAAGGCUUAGGAAAGUGUAAAAAAAUUGUAGAAAAACACAAACAGUUGAAGUACAAUUCCUGUGUGGGCCACCCAAACCAGGAUCUGAGACAACGAUUCAAGGAUAUUCUCCAUCCAGACAUCAUGGAGAGGCUACUGAGUCUUUGGCUGUGAGGUGUAUUUAUCUUCUCUUCCCAUUCUUUUUUUUUUUUUUUUCUCUUCCCAUUCUUUAAUGGAACAAGAAAGAAUGCUUUAGCAUCUAUGUCUGUGGUGACAUGGCACUAAUGAUCAGUGUAAGAGACUUAGGACAAUUAUUUAAAGACAAACCUGACCAACGAUAAUGGAUUUAUUUAUUUAAUAAAGCACUGAUUUAUGUAUUUCUUUAGUUAUGGAUUGCAGAUGCUAAUUGAAUACCUGAUAUGUAUUGUAGCUAAUAUUGUAAGACUGAGGGCCUUACCAAACACUCCGAGGAGCUGACUAUAGUGAAGCACACCCAGGAAUCCCAGUGGUGCCUUCAGAAUGUAAGACCGAGAGCCUUACCAAACGCUCCAAGGAGCUGACUAGUGAAGCACAACCAGGAAUCCCAGUGGUGCCUUCAGAAUGUAAGACCAAGAGCCUUACCAAAUGCUCCAAGGAGCUGACUAGUGAAGCACAACCAGGAAUCCCAGUGGUGCCUUCAGAAUGUAAGACCAAGAGCCUUACCAAAUGCUCCGAGGAGCUGACUAGUGAAGCACACCCAGGGAUCCCAGUGGUGCCUUCAGAAUGUAAGACCAAGAGCCUUACCAAAUGCUCCGAGGAGCUGACUACAGCGAAGACCACCCGGGAAGGAACACACCAGCCAAGUUGGGAAACAGACCUUUAUUAGUCUGGCCAGACGGCACUCCUGAGGCAAAAUAGCUUAGAGAGGAAACUGGCUCAGAAUCCGAGGCUGUUUUUAUAGGGGGUUGAGGGGGAAGUUAACAUAUUAAAGAAAAGGGGACAAAGGUUAAUGGUCGACUGUCACAUAUUGAUGGUCAGCAGACAUCUGCAGCUUGUUCUAACAAUUGUGGUGCCUGGAAUAUCAGUUCCGGAUAAACAAAGAGUUGAGUAGUUUACUCUGGGACCCUAGGUCGGUUACAGAUCCCUAUCUAACAUCUCUAGACUAACAAACAUCUCCAUCCAUUAACUCACAUUUUAAUCACAAUGGGGCUGGAGGAUCCAGCGUCCUUAGACUAACAAGCAUCUCCAUCUAUUCACAUUUUAAUCACAAUGGGGCUGGAGAAAAAGGGGCAAAGGUUAUGCAAUCCCACAAUAUCAGAAUAAAAGGUGGGAGCCACAGGUGAGCUAGGCAUGGAUUUGUUGUGCCCAGAUUGCGAAGUCCCAAAGACCACCAGGAAGCUGUUCCCAAUGCAAGCACACGAGGGUCGUUUAUUCAAGCUCGAGCAGGGGCUCCCAACCGUCAAUGAUGCAGCGGAUCAGAAUUGAGAGCCCUGAAUUUCAAAUUAGCGGGGUUUUUAUAGAGGUUACAGCAAGGUUUGGAGAUUUUCCAUUUAGCAGUUACAUGAUUGGUCGGCAUUUAGCAAGCAUGAAGUGUACAUUUUUGAUUGGCUAGGCAAAUCGGGGGUUGAGGGGUGGCUACAUGUAGGUUUUACAGGGGAAAAGAAGGACAAAGGUUAGUGGUCGACUGUCACGUACUGAUGGUCAGCAGACACACUGACUAAUAGUCAUGACCAUCACGUACUGACAGUCAGCACAUCUAGAGAUUGUUCUAUGGAUAGUGGGCCCAGAACGUUCAUUUCCUGGGCAAACAGAUGGCUGAGUAAUUAACUUAGGAACUUUGGUUUGUUACAGAUUGUAUCUUCUGUCCCAGAGCAAACAAAUUUUAACCAUUAAUUUGAGAGGACAAUAGAGACUAGUGCACUCUAGCAAAAUGGAGUUGCUUUGGUCUCACAGAUUAUGCCCCCCACAAGGUCACAUGCAGUGCCAAUAUCUAUUAUCUUUUUCAAACAGCACUGCAGGAAGCAUUAGAUGAAGAAAGUGAUAAAAAUUGUGGGAACUCACCAGAGGAGCAUAUUUCCUGUUUGAGUGGCCAGGAUGGUUACAACAGGAAAAGGAAAUGGGGUGGUUGAGAGUAUAAUGAAGGGGGUUCAUUUAAAUGGUUGUGAAGAGAGAUUGAAACACCCUGGGGGAGAUGAGAGGGGGAAGCUGUUACCAUCAGGAAUUGGAACAGCAAGAAAAACCCAAGAGUGGCUGGAAGUACAACUCAGCGGUGGAGUGCUUGACUAGCAGGCAUGAGGUCUUGGGCUCAAUCCCCAAUACAGAGGGACAAAAAAAAAAAAUAAGGAGAGUAAGAGAGAGCCUUAGGUAGGCUGAACUCCUCUGUGGGACUUUCAUUGAAUUGCAAAACCCAUCAGGAAGGAAUCAGGUGAACAAACGCCUCAAACUCAUGGUGGUCUUGCCCUUCAGUGUUUUACAGGUGGCUUCCAUUGGCCAAGUCGAGCAGGAAGCUGGACGCUAACUGUCCUGUGAAUUUCCUGGAAAGACACAAAAAACAUCUGCUUCUGGUUGAGAGGGAGCCAAUAGUCCAAAGAAUGACUGGGACAUACCCAGAUCAGCAGGGAAAUGAGUUGAUUAUUGAUAUAGAGCAGUGGGUGACUUGCAAGCUGCAGCACUACCAAGGUUCCUAACUCCCAUUUGCUAAACUGCUGGUUUUCUAGGGCUGGGAGCUGAACAGACAGCCGAAGCAAAGAUGAGAGAACUUGAGGAAAGUUGUGUGUAUUCUACUCCCAGUCCAUCCCUCUCAAGAAACUGCUGGUCUCCAGCUGUGGUGAUGGGUGACCUUAUUGUCCUGCAGCCUGGCAGAGCCUACAGGAUGGCUAAACAGCACCCUUUCCAAGAUGGGAGUUACUUUGGCUAGGGUUCUUGGAUAGUUCUUGUUAUGGUGAGGGAGUCACUGGGAUAGCUUCUCAGCCUCAGAGGCCAUGGAGCAGGUUUGAAAAGAGGGCAAACCAAAAGUGUCUAGCACAGUUCAUCACUCUGGCCCAUCAUCGUCCAUCUUUGUCCUGUUUGUCCUGAAUGAAAAUUCCAAAUCCAUGUCCCCCCCAUAAAGGUCACAAAAAGUCCCAAGAGGGACACCAUGGAGGGGUGGUAUCAGUUCUGUCUUCAUCCCACCUGAAACUUGAAGC
rnacentral:lncRNA from 1 species